rnacentral:rRNA from 1 species
UACAGGGGGUGCAAACGUUGCUCGGAAUCAUUGGGCGUAAAGCGCACGUAGGCGGUUCGUUAUGUCGGAUGUGAAAGCCCUUGGCUUAACCGAGGAAGUGCAUCCGAAACUGGCGAGCUAGAGUACGAAAGAGGAUCGCGGAAUUCCCGGUGUAGAGGUGGAAUUCGUAGAUAUCGGGAGGAACACCGGUGGCGAAGGCGGCGAUCUGGGUCGAUACUGACGCUGAGGUGCGAAAGCGUGGGGAGCAAACAGG